GACGAACGCUGGCGGCGUGCCUAAUACAUGCAAGUCGAGCGAAUCAAUAGGAGCUUGCUCCUGUUGGUUAGCGGCGGACGGGUGAGUAACACGUGGGCAACCUGCCUGUAAGACUGGGAUAACACCGGGAAACCGGUGCUAAUACCGGAUAAUCCUUUUCCCCUCAUGAGGAAAAGCUGAAAGUCGGUUUCGGCUGACACUUACAGAUGGGCCCGCGGCGCAUUAGCUAGUUGGUGAGGUAACGGCUCACCAAGGCGACGAUGCGUAGCCGACCUGAGAGGGUGAUCGGCCACACUGGGACUGAGACACGGCCCAGACUCCUACGGGAGGCAGCAGUAGGGAAUCUUCCACAAUGGACGAAAGUCUGAUGGAGCAACGCCGCGUGAGCGAUGAAGGCCUUCGGGUCGUAAAGCUCUGUUGUUAGGGAAGAACAAGUAUCGGAGUAACUGCCGGUACCUUGACGGUACCUAACCAGAAAGCCACGGCUAACUACGUGCCAGCCGCCGCUGUAACAC
rnacentral:rRNA from 1 species